CCUACGGGUGGCAGCAGUGGGGAAUAUUGCACAAUGGGCGCAACCCUGAAGCAGUGAAGCCGCGUGAGUGAAGAAGUAAUUCGUUAUGUAAAGCUCCAUCAGCAGGGAAGAAAAUGACGGUACCUGAGUAAGAAGCCCCGGCUAACUACGUGCCAGCAGCCGCGGUAAUACGUAGGGAGCAAGCGUUAUACGGAUUUACUGGGUGUAAAGGGAGCGUAGGCGGGAGUGCAAGUCUGGAGUGAAAGGCGGGGGCUCAACCCCCGGAGUGCUGUGGAAACUGUACGGCUUGAGUGCAGGAGAGGUAAGUGGAAUGCGUGGUGUAGCGGUGAAAUGCGUAGAUAUUAGGAAGAACACCGGUGGCGAAGGCGGCUUACUGGACUGUAACUGACGUUGAGGCUCGAAAGCGUGGGGAGCAAACAGGAUUAGAUACCCUUGUAGUC
rnacentral:rRNA from 1 species